rnacentral:miRNA from 1 species
GAAAGCUGCCAAGCGAAGGGC